CACGACCACUGCGGUUACAGGUUGCGGUCAUCUGGGCUGCUUGCUCCUGGGUCCCCGGAUCCUGCGAACUGGCUGGCACCGACCGCCUGCCUCUUCCUUGGCCUACCGAAACCCUUCUGAGGCCUAACUUGGAUGAAAUCGGCGCCUCAAUCUGGCAACGCGGAACUUCCGUAUCGCCUCAUGACGUCUACUGGGGAGUAUAUAAGCGCCAUCCUUCAGCCGCCUACUUUGGGUACGACGCCGCAUCUGCGAUGGGUGACUCACGACCACUGCUGUUACAGCCCGCGCCAUACCACUGCCACACCGGAACCACUCUGAUGCCCUCGUGUUGACGAGGGCUCCUUUACCGGUUGCUCGGGUCCCUAUUUGGAACUUUUGCUCAAGAUCCAUGACCAGUUAAAGCGUUGAAAAACUCUUUACUCAAGUCCCUCUUCUAACGGACGAUGCUGCGGGACAGUGACUCUGCUUCGCCACCAGUCUCCUACACAAUAAUGUCCCCCAGUGAAGCGUGCUUAGUGUUCCAACAAGCUGAAACUACAAUGACUGCCGACGUGAAUAUAAACCACGUUCUGGGCAUCUGAAAUACUUCGUGUUCUGUACCAUGUCUGGAAAUAAGGCAGCUGCUGGCCCCAUGA